UUUAACCUAUUGCGGCGUGCAACCCGAUCCUGUCAUAUUAGUAUAAAAUAUUAAAAAUACAAUAACCUAUUCUAUUGAUGAAUACAAAGCUAAGUCAGAAAGGAAACCUUGUACAACAUGAAAAUUCACAUAUGUAAUACUACACCGCAGGACAAGUCCAGCAAAUGAAAAUUAAAAGGUGCAAGUAAGUCAAUAAAGGCAAAUAGCAGCGAAUCAUGAAAGAAUAAAAGGGAUCUAACAUUGUAAAUAGGAGAAUCAGUGAUUGACAUGUAGCAAAUAAGCAUGGAAAGCAUAUAACAGUUAAAACAUGAGAUAAUUAAGGAAAGUGGAAAAUCAGGGAAAACAAGUAAUUCAGUGGUGUAUGCGCACUCGUCAAUUUGCAUAUAUGCUGCAACAUAUGAAAUCCACAUAGUACAUAGUCUGAGGGUUCCUAGUUCCCUUAAAUCAAGGUUAAACGCAACACUAGCCUAACUUCAUAGUCAACUCAGAGCUCUGCCGGGGACUUUACCCUAUAAUCCACCACAAACUACUGGUAUAUAUCCAUAAUUGACUCAAUUUUAUCAAAUAUUACUAAAGGAAUCAAUUACAACGCAUAAAUAUUUCCCACACUUUCCUCCAAAAAGUCAAAAAUCGACCUUGGGUUGGCUUGGUCCAAAUACAAAAUUCGGACCAAAACUUAAUUACCCAUUCACCCCCGAGCCCAGCUAUGCAAUUUGUUUCGAAAUCUGACCUAAGUUUGAGGUCUAAUUACAAUUUUACAAACAUCCCUAAUUUUACCCCAAACCCAAUUUCUACCUUGAAAAUUCUGGAUUUUAAGUUGAAACCUUAUGAAAUGCAAUGGAUGAUUGAAAGAAUAUAGGUUAGAAACACUUACCAAUGAAUUGGGAAAGAAAAGUUCUUAGAAAAAAUCUCCUCUAGGGUUUUUAGGUUUGAAAAUUUGAAGAAUGAGAGAAUGUCUCGCCACGUUCAGAUUUUGAUCAGGUGUAGGUGUCACAAUUGCGACAUUGCAAACCCACAAAUGCAGAUAAAUCUUUGAAAAUGCAAAGAUUCGACAUUCCUGCUGCCCUCGCAAAUGCAAACAAAAUGUUCACAAAGGCGAACAUGAGGGAAUCGCAAUUGCGACUGCAAAUAUCAAAAAUGCAAAAGUCUAUCCCAGCCCCUGCUCGCAAAUGCGAGGCGCCAGACCUUGCAAUUAUGUAGUCUACAGACCUGAUGCACCAACAUUCCGUUUAAGUUCAAAGUCACUUUGAAGCCUAUCCGAUACUCACUCGAGCCUUGAUGGCUCCAAACAAAACAUGCACACAAGUCCAAAAAUAUCAUACGAACUUACUCGUUUGAUUAAAUUGCCAAAAAACACCUGUAACAAUGAAUCAGACACCAAAUCAAAUGAUAUUUUCAAGAAAAUUUAUGAACUUCUAUUUUAACAACCGGAUGCCCGAAUCACGUCAAACCAACUCCGUUUUUCAUCAAAUUUGACAGAUAUGUUAUAAAUAUAUUAGUGAGCCUAUAUCAAGUUCCGGAACAAUAAUACAGAUCUAGUAUCAGCAAAGUCAAAUAUUGGUCAAAAUUUUAGAUUUAUCAAGCCUUUAAACUUCAAUGUUUCAACAAAAUACAAUACUCGAGCUAGAAACUUCCAAAUUUAUUUUCAAGAAUAUGCGCAAGUCACAAAUCAAGAUACGAACCCACCGAAACCAUUGAAGAACUGAUCUGAUUUUGUUUCUCAAAAUGUUGACUGAAGUCAAAUCAAAUGGAUUUUUAAGGCAAAAUAUUUAUUAAUUUUUAAUAUAAAAUAUUUUUGAGAAAGCACUCGGACGUCCUAUGCAAAUCGAGGAAGGCUUAAAGAAGAUAUCAGAGGCUUCGAAACACAUAUUUAAGGUUAAAAACUCUAGAUGACCUAUGAGAUCAUCACAUUAUCCACCUCUAAAUAAACGUUUGUCCUCGAAAGGACAUAGAAAAGUAUCUAGACUGGUGAAAAGGUGUGGAUAUCGACUCCGCAUGUCUGAAUCGGACUCCCAAGUAGCUGCCCAAAUCGACUGCCCUCUCCACUGCAUUUGAACUGAAGGAUAACUCUUUGAUCUUCACUGUCGAACCUGCAGAGCUAGAAUAGCCACGGGCUCCUCCUCGUAAGAUAAAUACUUGUCCAACUGCACUGAUCUGAAAUCUAACACAUGGGACGGAUCACCGUGAUACUUCUGAAGCAUGGAAACGUGGAACACCGGAUGGAGUACUAACAAGUAGAUGUCAAUGGGAGUUUGUAAGCCAUCUCAACCACUAUUUGAAGAAUCUCAAAAGGUCCGACAUACCUAGGGCUCAACUUGCCCUUCUUUUCGAACCAUAUCACACCUUUCAUGGGAAAAACCCAGAGUAAUACCGUAUCUUCGACCAUGAAUGCAACAUCACAAACUCUACAGUCGACAUUACUCUUCUUCCUGAACUAAGCUGUGCGAAGUCGAUCUUGAAUAAUCUUGUCCUUAUCCAAGGCAUUAUGUACCAAAUCUGUACCUGACAAUAGAGCCCUUUUCUCUGGCUCAAACCAUCAAACUGGUGACCGACACCGCCUCCCAUAUAAUUCCUCAUAGGAAGACAUUUGAAUGCUCGGCUAGUAGUUAUUGUUGUAUACAAACUCCACAAGUGAUAAUGUAAUGACCCGAUUAGUCGUUUAACUUUCUAGAACCCUUUUACCCUAAAUAAGACUCCCCCUAUUUGCCUUUACUAUUUUAUGGCUUACAGGAAUUGUUAGUUUGCAAUUUGGAAAGUUUCGGGUUAAAAUCAAAGUAGUUGAUUUCUUAUGGUUGGCUAAAAGGAUCAAGUUUGACUUUUGUCUAUGUUUUGAGUAUACGACCGAUAAAUCAGGAUUUGAUCAUUCCAAUAGGUUUGUAUGAUGAUUUUAGACUUGGGAGUAUAUACGGAUCAGGUUUUUGAUGACCAGGGAUCAUUUCGCUGCCUAAUAGUGAAACUUGACUUUUUGAAGGUUUUAAAGUUCUUUAAAUUUUAUUUGGAGUAGGUUUUGAUGUUAUCAAGGUCUGAUUGGGUUUUUGAGACUGAGAAUAGUUCUGCAUGGUGAUUUAAGACUUGCACGGAAAAUCUGGUGUCAUUCCGAGUAGUCGAAGUAUGAUUUGAUGCGUUUGAAGCGAUUUGGAAACUUGAAGUUAUUAACUUGAUUUUAUUUGAUUUUGGGAUUUGAUUCUUGGUUUUACUAUUGUAUUAUGUAUUUCGAGAAAUUGAGCAGGUCCGUAUUAUUUUUAUAGACUUGUUGGUAUAGUUGGAUGGGGUCCUGAGGGGCUCAAGUGUGUUUCGGACCACCCGAAGCCAAGUUGAAGAAAUUAGAUUUCCAGUUCUGGUUUCCUUCUUCAAGAACACGGAAAGACCACCGUCUUCGCGAUGAAAGAUUUGGAAUGUGGGGCAAUUAGCCCUUCGCAUUCGCGAUAAGGGGUCACGUGUUUGGAGCCUUGAGGCCCCAAGCUUACACAUCCGUGAAGGCCUCCUCGCGUUCGCAUAGAAGGUUGAGACCCGGGGGAGGGGGGGGAGUGCCACUGCUCUUCGCGUUCAUGAAGGUUACCUUGCAUUCACAUAGGGCAGGACUGGUAAGCCUUCAUAUUUGCGAGGCCGUGGUUAUGUUCGCAUAGACCAAGAUUUGUUGGGCCUAGACGAUUUGCCUUCACGAACGCAAUACAUAUUCCACGUUCGCGAAGAAGGGGGCACUUGGGCAGUGUGUUUUAAAUCGGGACAUCCAUUUUUGGGGUCAAUUAAUACAUAGAUCAUGAGCAGAUUGCAUUAUUGGAGGUAUGUAAUUCCUUAGGAGAUUUUGGAGCGUCAAAAAGGGGGAUUUCAACCUAGUUAUUGGAGGUAAGUAAUUCCUAACCAAUGUAAGUUUAAUACAUAGAUUAUGGGCAGAUUUUAACAUGUAAAUUUGUGGAAUUUAUGCGUUUAGAUGAAAAAUCUAGGUUUUGACAAAAAUGAGAUUUAACCACAAAAAUGAAUAUGGAAUGGGGGUGAAAAUUAGAUAUUUGAGUUCAUGAGACUAUGGAUUACAAUUUUUUUCAAAAUAUUGUUGGAAUUCGGGCACGUGGGUUGGGGAAUGAAUUUUAGAAACUCUUUAAUUAGGUUUGGGUAAUCACUUUAAUAGAUAAAAUAUGAACUUUUGAACAUGUCUUGAUUAUUUUAUAUAACAUUUGACUAGUUUCGAGUCGUUUCUCACCAAGUUUAGGGUUAGAAGCACAUUUGUGGAUGAAAGUGAACUUGAGAACGAGGUAAUUCUCUUUUCUAAUCUAGUAAGGGGGAAUUAACCCCAUUGAUGAACUGAUUUAAUAUGUGCUUCUAUUUGUGGGGGGCUACGUAUGCAGAAGGUGAUGAUAAUUCCUACAUAGCUACUAAUUAUGCAUGUGUCCAUGUAUUUUAGGACCCAUAUCAUGCGAUACUUACGAUAUUUGCACCCUACUUUCUAAUUAAAUGCUUAAAUCAUAUCGGAACUUGAUAAAGGAAUUGUAAAGGGUCAAAUUUUAUCUACUUGAGUUUUGGACGGCUUACUUGACUGUUAAUGAGAAUUGAUGUUUCCUCGAAUAUUAGCCUCUUAAUAAUCUUUGAAUCGAUUGUUUAUAAAGUGUUGUUCUCUUGUUGUGGAGCGGGCCGAACACCUCAGUAAUAUAAUGGAUGCAGCUAUGGUUAGUAUCGUUUGACCCUAGGUAAUGCACACCUUAUAUAUUUGUAUGUUGGAUUGGGCCGCAUGAUCUCGGCAUAAUUCGUGCAUAAUAAUUCUUGGAGCCCAGUUAAAAUUAAUGUUGUUUCGUUGGCUUGAGAGAUUAAUUCGCUAAAUGAUGGAAAUAAUUUGGGAUUUACUAUUAGUGAAAGAAUUGUUCUUUAUUUCUUCUUAUUGAGUUUUCAGCUGUAUUUAUGUAGUUCAUGCUUAGUUAUAAUUUCAUUAUUUUACUGUUAGCAUAGUAAGUGUCGAAGUCAAUCCCUUGUCACUACUUCUUCGAGGUUAGACUAGAUACUUAGUGGGUGCAUAUUAUUUAUGUACUCACACUAUACUUUUCAACUAAUUGUGCAGGAUCUGAGGUAGGUACAUCUUGUUAUCAGUCUGGCGCACAUCUUUGACUUUCUCAAGACUUAACGCUGAGCAGCCUUUCGAGCCCAUUCUGCAGCACAAGAAGUCUUCCUUUUGUAUUUACUUUCUAUCUAUUUCAGUUCAAACAGUAGUGUAGUAUUUUUUUUGGUAUAUUCUACUAGUACCUUAUACAUUUGUGACACCAGGUUUAGGAAAUAUGCUAGUAGACAUAUGCUGAUUUUUGCGUUAUUUUACUUAUCUAAUUUUCUCUUAAAAUUUAUUAUCUCUCAUCAUAUUAAGUUUUUACUUCCUAUUUAUGCACUAAUUAAAAAUUAGCUAUUUCAAAACUACUAAUAAAAUAACCAUGUGGUUAGUUCACUACUGGUUUGCCUAGCAGUGGCAUUGGGCGCCCUGACGGCCUCUAGGAGGAAUUGGUCGUGACAGGAAAGAACUGAUCCCAUGAACCCCUGAAAUCUAUAACACAAGAGCAGAACAAAUCCUCCAAUAUCUGAAUAGGGCGCUUGGAUUGUCCGACAGUCUAAGGACGAAAUGUUGUGCUCAACUCACCCUAUGUGCCCAACUCAUGUUGUACUUCCCUCUAGAAGUGUGAUGUAAAGUGUGUACCUCUAUUAGAAAUAAUAGACAUAGGCACACUGUAAAGACGAACAAUCUCACGGAUGUAAAUAUCAGCCAACCGCUCUGAAGAAUAGGUAACUACCACAAGAAUAAAAUGUGCUGACUUGGUCAGCCUGUCCACAAUGACCCAAACAGCAUUGAACUCCUUCUGAGUCUAUGGGAGUCCUGCAACAAAAUGCAUAGUGAUACGCUCCAACUUCCACUCAAGAAUCUCUAAUUUCUUAAGAAAAUCACCAGGUCUGUUGCUCAUACUUUACCUGCAGACAAUUUAGACACCGAGCUACAUAGGCCACUAUAUCAUUCUUCAUCCUCCUCCACCAGUAAUGUUGUCGCAGUCCUGAUACAUAUUGGUGGCACCAAGUUGAAUAGAACACCGGAAACUGUGGGCCUCUUCAAGAAUAAACUCACUAAGUCCAUCUACAUUAGGCACACAAAUAAGACCCUACAUCCUCAAAACUCUAUCAUAUCCAGUAGUAACCUGCUUGGAAACAUCAUGCCACACCGUGUCCCUAAGGAAGCAAAUGAGGGUCAUUAUACUGCCGCUCCCUUAUGGGCUCAAACAAGGAAUACUGAGUGAAUGCACAAGCUAGAACACGACUAGGCUCAGAAAUAUCCAACCUUACAAACUGAUUGGCCAAAGCAUGAACAUCUUAGGCAAGUGGUCUAUCACCGACUGGAUGUAUGCAACACUGUUCAUACUCACUCCCUUUCUACUCAAGGCAUCAGCCACCACAUGGCCUUCUCCAGAUGAUAUAAAAUGGUGAUAUCAUAGUAUUUCAAGAGCUCCAACCACCUCGUCUGCUUUAAAUUGAGAUCCAUAUAUUUGAACAAAUACUUCAAGCUCUGAUGAUCCGGGAAUACCUCAUACGACACGUUGUAAAGAUAGUGCCUCCAAAUCUUCAGCACAUGAACAAUGGCUGCCAACUCUAAGUCAUGAACAUGGUACUUCUUCUCAUGAACCUUCAACCACCAUGAUGUAUAUGCAAUCAUCCUGCCAUCCUGCAUCAAUACCGCACCAAGUCCAAUAUGAGAUGUAUCACAAUAUGUCAUGUAAGACCCUGAACCCGUGGGCAACACCAAAACUGGCGCCGAAGUCAAAGCAAUCUUGAGAUUCUAAAAGUUCGCCUCACACUCUUCUGACCAUCUAAAUGGGGCACCCUUUUGGGUUAACCUGAUAAAUGUGGCUGCUAUAAAUGAAAAUCCCUCCACUAACCGACGGUAAUAACCUGCCAAACCCAGGAAAACUCUGGAUAUCCUUAGAUGAAGUGGGUCUAGGCUAGUUCUGAACUGCCUCAAUAUUCUUAGGAUCCACCUUUAUGCCAUAUGCCAAUACUACAUGCCCCAAGAAAGCGACCGAGUCCAACCAAAACUCGCACUUUAAAAACUUGGCAUACAAUUGGCUAUUUCUGAGAGUCUGAAUUACAAUUCGAAGGUGCUUCUCGUGCUCCUCUCGACUACAGGAGUAGAUCUAGAUAUCAUCAACAAACCCAAUCAUAAAGGAAUCUAGAUAGGCUUUAAAACCGGUUCAUCAAAUCCAUAUAUGUUGUUGGGGCGUUUGCUAGCCCAAAUGACAUUACUAUAAACUCAUAAUGCCCAUAUUGAGUCCGGAAAGUUGUCUUAGGGACAUCAGAUGCCCUAAUCCUUAACUCAUGGUAGCUAGAGCUCAAAAUAAUCUUCGCAAAACACCUUGGCCCCUGAAGCUAAUCAAAUAAGUCAUCAAUCCUCGGUAAUGGAUACUUGUACUUGAUGGUAACUUUGUUCAACUGCUGGUAGUAUAUGCACAUACAUCAAUCAACAUCAACCUUUCUUUUCAAGAACAACAUAGGCGCAGCACAGGGCGAGACACUAUGUCUAAUGAAGCCCUUAUCAAGUAAAUCUUUCAAUUGCUCGUUCAAUUCUUUCAACUCUGGCGGGUCCAUACGAUAUGGCAGAAUAGAAAUGGGAUUAGUGCUCGGAUCUAAAUCAAUACAGAAGCCAAUAUCCCUCUCAUGUGGUAUCUCGGCAGAUCUGCAGGAAACACCUCUGGAAACUCACGAACAAUUGGUACUGAUUCUAUGGAAGGAACCUUCGAACUAGAAUCUUGCAUAUAAGUCAAAUAAGCUAGACACCCCUUCUCGACCAUAUGUUGAGCCUUCACACAAGAGAUAAACUUGCUGGUAGAAUAGCCAGGGGUCCCCCUCCACUCUAAUCGAGGCAACCUCAACAAGGAUAUGGUCAUCGUCUUGGAAUGAAAAUCUAAUAUAACAUGAUAAGGUGACUGCCAAUACAUACCAAAGAUGACUUCAAAAACUACUAUAUCAAGAAGUAUAAAAUCUAUGCUAGUAUCAAGACUCCAAAUAGUAACCGCAUACAAACGAUAGACACAAUCUACAAUAAUAGAAUCUCUCACGGGUGUUGACACAUACACAUAAGCACUUAAAGAAUCACAAGGCACAAUCAGAUAUGAAGAAAUAUAAGAUGACAUAUAGGAAUAAGUAGCCUGGAUCAAAUAGAACUGAAGCAUCUCUAUGGAAAACUUGAAUAAUACAUGUGAUAACAACGUCAAAUGACUCAGCCUCAAGCCUGCUGGAAAGGCAUAAUAUCGGGGUUGGGCCCCAUCACUCUAAACCACAUCUCUAGGAUGACCUACAGCUGGCUGGCCUCCACCUCUUACAGUAUGAUCUCCACCUUUAAUGGCUUGACCUCCACCUUUGACUGCCUGCUCCUGCCUCUAUCUGGCUGAGCGGGUAGUGGCGCAACCGAUGUUGGAACCAUGGAAUGAGAACUCUAUUGUGGAGUGUCGCCCAAUAAUCUCUGACAGGUCCUCUUGAUAUGCCCAAAACCACCACACCCAAAAUAUCCAUCCUGGUGUUAGGGCUGUUAAAAUUGAUACUGAACCAAACAAGAUGAAUAAACAUGGUAAUAACUUUGUAGCGGAGGUACACUGAUAGGAGCUAAUGGUGCACUAUAGGCUGAUUUCACAAAAUAAUGCACAUAAGGACUAAGGCUCCCUCAAGCACUAUGGGAUGCCUGAAGUGAUGACUGAAAUGGCAUGGGAGGAUGACCCCUACCAGAAGUACCCCUGCCUCCAAAUAAGGCACCACUAAAACCAUCGGAAUGACAAGGCCUCUUUUCAAACCUCUGUCCUCUCUCUUGUGCAAGAACCAUCUCGAUCCGCCUCGCAACAUUAGCAACUGUCUAAAAGGAAAUCUCACCCUCGAUCGCCUUGGAAAUCUAUAGAAUGAUAGGAUAAAUGAGCCUAUCAAUAAACCUCAGUACCCUCUCCCUGUCAGUAGGAAGCAAGAUAAGGGCAUGAUAAGCUAGAUCUAUAAAACGGGUCUCGUACUGAUAACUGACAUACUACCCUACUGGAGAUGCUCAAACUGCCUGAGGUAGCCCUCCCUCAAGGUGAUAAGAAGAAACUUCUCUAGAAAUAGCUAAGAGAACUGGCCCUAAGUAAUUUCAUGUGAUCCAGAUAGUUUGGUAGAUACAUAAUCCUAUCUCUUGGAGGAACCCGUCAUAUGAAACACAACAAAAUUGACCACAUUAGUCUCAACUAUGCCCAUAUACCACAACACAUCAUGGUAGCAGUUUUCAAGAUAAUCUUGUGGGUCCUUAGAAGGUGCACCACUGAAGCAAAUCGGGUAAAGCUUGGUGAACUUGUCCAAUCUCAAUAAGCCCUCAUAAGACAUAGCGUCCCUAUCAUCAACUUGUGCCGCGACAACUGGUUGAACUGCCACAACUGGUGGGGCAACUGGUGUAUGAUACUGGGGAACCAUCUGCUCUGGAGUGUGAGUAGCGAGAGUUUGUGCUCCUCCCCUAGCCUGAGAGACAACUAGUGACGUAGGAAACAUACCAGUCUGGGACACACUCUCCAUAAGACCCCCCAAAAUAGACUAGAGUGUCUUAAAGCACUUGGGUGGCGAUGAACCCCUCCAGGACCUAGGCUUGUCCAGCAUGUUUAAUCUGAGAUGGAACCUCUUUAUCAAAAUCUACCUAAGGCUCCAUUUUUAGUGAUACUACUCGAGCUGUAGGCUAAGCUCUGCACCUCCAUUGGCCUCUAGAGGGACCUAGACCUCAACCUCUGCCCCUUGUAGAAGCUGCUGCUGGGGGCUCUGGCUGCUAUACAGCUGAAGACACCUUUAUGCCUCAAACUUGGAAGGGAAGGGGUGAAACCGGUACUUGGUGCCUCACCUAUCCUUGCGUACCAACAUGGAACUAAGGGACUCCGAACAUGUAAUGUCAUGCUUUGGCCAUGGGACACAUUGCAAGACAAUUGCUAACGUUGACUAAACAUCAAUAUAAUGCUGGGUCGACAAGGCCGUCAUAACUACUACAAUGGAUAGACAAACCAAAUAUACAUACAAGGCCUACAAGCCAAAAAUACUGCACUAAUUGAUACGAUAUGACUACAAGCCUCUACUAAUAGAUAUACUGUAAUCUGGGUAGAGCUCCGACCAACUCAUAACACAUAUACAUAAAUACACCAGCUGUACAUAAAGCCCUAGAUCCGACAACUCCGAAGGGCAUGGAGCUUACUGAUCAAGCUGAACUUGGGCAAUACCUAAUGAGGAGGUCUACCCGUCUGUCUGUCAGAACCUGCAUGCAUGAAAUGCAGCGGCCCUAGAAAAGGAAUGCCAAUAUGAAAUAAUGUACGAAGUAUGUAAGACAAUAUACUAAAAGUUGAAAAAAAACUAAUUAUAAAAUAACUGAAAGCAACUGGGAGUCAAAGAUAAUCCGAAGAUAUGCUCACCUGCAAAUACUAAUUCAACUCUCUCAAUAUAGUAAGUAAAUUAGAUGUCUAGCCUUAUAAGGCUCAGUAUGUAUGUGUGUGUGUGUGUGUGUAUAUAUAUAUACAUAUAUAGUAGGCUCGCUCAUAGGCGCUCGGCUAUACUAGGCUCUAUAUCUUGUUCAUGUUGGGCUCGCUCAUAGGUGCUCGGUCAUAGUAGGCUCAGUAUAUAACUUACCAUCUGAUCAGAGGUUGCCCAAUAUGGGCCUGCCUACCAAUUAUAGCUCGAUGGUGGUGAAAAUAUUGUAAUAAUUUUUUUUUUGUGUGUGUGUAUAUAUAUAACCUCUUAUCUCUUGACUGUAAGAAGAAAAUACUCAAUUGAAUAUAAAGUCCCGAUUAGGGGAACUACUACAAUUUAUUAGAGUGGUAUAAUGUACAUAUGUUCGGGAGUAUGAAUUUCUCUUUAUGCUUCAUCGUCAAAUACAUGUCAUUAUGAUAUCAUGCCAAAAUGAAUGAAAGACAGCCUUCAUAUACCUGUCGAUUCUUUUGAUAAUCCCUUUAAUGCACGUCAAUUGCGAUAAAGCACAUAAUGAUGGAUCGAAGUAGGAAUAAAUCUGUAUAAUAUUCUUGAGAAAGAUUUUAUCGGACUCCCUUAGAAUUACAAAUUCUGUUGCUAUUACGUAGUAUAACUUCGUAUGAAUUUCUUAGAUGGAGAUCUUUCACUAUAAGUAGAAUAAAUUCAUAUGAAGUUAUACUACGUAAUAGCAACAGAAUUUGAUCUCCAUCUAAGAAAUUCUGUUGCUAUUACGUAGUAUAAAUUCAUACGAAGUAGGAAUAAAUCUGUAUAAUUUCUUAGAAUUACAAAUUCUGUUGCUAUUUUGUUUUGCUGAAGCAAUGUAUAUUGCAAUGGAGAUCAUCACUUGGAGAUGGGAGGAGGUGAGCAUCUCUUAUUUUGUGAAUUUUUUAUCAAAGUGUUACAUGUCCUUUGUUGAAUUUAAGAAGCCUUUUAUGGCGUAGCUAAGAGGCCCUCUAAAGGUGCCACCUAGCAAUUCAAUUCAAGAGUCACUAAUUGAAUAGCGCCUGCCACAUUUUGGGCCUUUUAGAUCUUAUCCCAUAAUCAUAAUUAUUUACUAAUCUACUUGAUUCUAUUAUUUAUCUCCCAUUGAUAGAUAAUUAUCCAAUUAUUCACAUAAUUAAAAAUUCUCUCAAAAUACUUAAAAUUCUAUUCACUUUUAACACAUUUUAUACAAAGUGUUAUCAUGGUCAUGUGGUACCUUGUAUAGCACUAGUCUAUAAAUACCGGUAUUUUAGCUCGGGCCGUAUUCUAUCCCAAAAUGUCAAACUUUGAUGAAAUUACCCUCUCACCUUUACGAAUUUACUCUUCACUUGUUUACAAUAGUAUAAUACUUAUAAUCCCAAAAUAAUCUCAUUCCCGAACUUACAUCGAUUAACUUACGAUGAAACUUUAAUGUACGAAAAUGUAAAAUGUAACAUCUCAUUUAUGAGCUUUCAUCACUUUACUUAUGGUGUACUUUCACGUAUGAAAACAUGGGGUGUAACAUCAUCCCCCAUUUGGAACAUUCAUCCUCGAAUGUGGACUGAUGUACUUAUCAUUAUCAUAGCCUAUAGUCCUUACGAAUACUUUAAUACUCUCAUUGCCAUCUUAGGAAGUUGGUCUAUGAAUAAAUCCAAAGUCUAGAAUAUUUCCACUUGUAGGUCUCUUUCUUACACACGGACUAUGGUCAGGAUUUUUCCAAUCUCGUAAAUCUUGCUAUUUGUUCUAUGAAUAAAUCCAAAGUCUAGAAUAUUCCCACUUGUAGGUCUCUUUCUUACACACGGCCUAUGGUCAGGAUUUUUCCAACCUCGUAAAUCUUGCUACCUUCUGCCAUGCACCCUAUACGACAUUGGAUUCUUCCAAUCUCGUAACUCUUGUUACCUUCUGUCAUGCACUCUGUACGACUUUUUUCUUGUAAGUACACCUAUGCAACUCUUCUUUCCUUUUUUUUUUCCUCCAGCUUCUACCAAAUCUCAAGACUUCAGUUUGUAAAAUUAUACAGAGCUUGAUAAGAUGUCCCUCUGAGCAUCUAUGGGUAUACCAAAGUUCCUUGUUUGAUACUUUAUAGAACUCACGAAUAUUGAUAUAUCUUAUUUCAAAUAUCCAUCCGUAUGACUUUACUGCACCUAGUUAGGUCAUAAUAUACCAUAGCUAUUGUCACGCCUUCUUUUUACUACCCCCUAAAAGGGUGUAUAAGGGAGUUUUUUCUAAUGUUAGUGACAAUCAAAAUGGAAUUAUUUAUUUAAAUCAGAGUCGCCAUUUGGGAUAAUUUGUGAUAUCCCAAGUAAUCGAUUUAGAAUCCCGAAUCGAGGAAAUUUGAAUCUGUAUUAAUGUCUGCGAACACAGAAAUUCGAAUAAAGAAUUCUGUUAAUCAGGGAGAAGGUGUUAGGCACUCCCGAGUUCCGUGGUUCUAGCAUGGUCACUUUGAUCAUACUAAAAUUAUUUAAUUACUGAUUUUAGAACCUACAUGAUAUUUGCCUUUUUUUAUUAAGAAAUUAUCUUGAAACGGGUCACGCGUACGUGUACCCAUUUGUUUGGUGCAUAAAAAAUCAUGUCAUGUGAAUGUGUCCAAUCAAUAACUCUUUAUUAUUAUUAUUAAGAAAUGUUUGGCCAAAGUUGCACGAACACAUACUCCGAUUUUUUUUAGAAUCGUAAUUAUGUCAUGCGAACGUGUAUGCCACCAUAUGGUUUAUUAAACAUGUCUAAAGCAAACUACGAAUGCUUUUUUUAAUAUAUAAGUCAUAAGACCAAUAUGAGGGCCAUGAAUGAUUAAAUUGUGGAUGGCACCUCGCCUAUAUGAACUAAAUUUCAUUUAGCAGCCUAUUAAAAAUACUUUUAUUAUUAAGAAAGUUUAAUCGAAGUUGCGAGAAUGCAUACUCUGAAUUAGUUUUUAGAAUCGUUAUUAUGUCACCAAACUUAUACACAAUCACAAGAAUAUAUUAAAGGCGCCUAAAGGCUUUUCUACGAGUAUUAAUUAUUAAUAGCUCUUUUACAAUAUUUGUGAUGGCCAUGGGAGGGUUAAUUAAGAUGGCACACCUCAAUAAUAAAUAAAUAAAACUUGUACUAGACUAGAGCGAAUUAUGAAUUCUUAGGUUACAACUACAAAUUUAAAGCAAGCAUGGGAUAAUUGCUAGGCACUAGAUUAUUUUAACCAAGGUUUGUCAAACAGACAAGUCCCUUGAACUGUGAAAAUUAGAUGGCCAUGAAUAUGAAAAACGAAAGGGGUGCUAGGCCUUGGAAGCGAAUCCAGAAAUGAAAGAAAAGAGCCUGAGGCACACGAGCCUGGCUUGGUCCAGACAUUCACAUUUGGGCCAUUUAACAGGCAUGACCGCUUUUAAAGGAUGUCAUUAAGGAACUUUACUAUUUGGAAAACCUUAUUCUGCAGGCCUUCAAUUAUCUGAUAUGCCAUGAGUAAUUCAAACAUUAAUCUAAACUAGCCUAAACCAAUUUCAACAAAACAACUAAAAGAUGCUCCUCAUCUAACUUAAAUCCAUAAUACAGAAAAUUCAAGCACCAUAUACUCAACAACGGGAUCCUUUAUUUUUAGCAGAACCACAAACCAACAUAAUAGGCUAAAUUUCUAAUCCAAACUUGAAAAUGAAAUAUAGCAUCAAUAAUAUAAAUAUGCAAACGAACACAUAAUGUAAAGCUAACUCAAUAAAGAAUCUAGACAAAACUUUAUAAUGAACUUUCAGCAAAGCUAAUAUUCAUUCUUAUGUUUCCACACUUGAUUAUACUUAGUCAUAACUAUAUGAAACAUUCUCAAAAUCCAGUAAGUACUAGUUAAUCCAUGUAAACUAUUAUGGCUGCCUGCCAGUUUUCAACUUAUUGAGAACCAUACAUGGAUUCACUAAUGCUAAAGGACCAUCCACAUGAAUAUUAGAUUCAAGCUAAUAUCCUACUUCAAAUUAUUUUCUAAAGAAAACAGAAGAACUAACAAAGUAAACCGCAUCUUAUUAUUACAAAAAAACAAAUACAGUAUGAUGUACAUCUUCAUUUUCCAUUUAAAGGUUCAUGAGAGUACCUGAAUAUAACUAAUAGAAUAAAAUGAGUCUUGAAAUCAACAGAGAUGAAAGCAAGAAUAGAAAUCCAACAGCAACAACACAUUUUCCACGAUUAUCUUUAAACCCAGAUAAAUUAGAAAUUCCUUGAAACCUUUAAAUUCUUACAAACAGUGAACCAACGAGAAAUUCCAAACAAUUUUUGACCAAAACCGCUACAGAAACUCUUAGUGUUUUUCAGGGUAUGAAGGUCUGAUUUUUUGAGUGAAAGAAGGGUCUAUACAUAGCCUUAAAGAAUUCCAUGAGAUCAAAAAGGAUGAGGGAAUUAUUUGUUUCAGCCAUAAAGCAUCUUUUAACAAACUUGGACAGCUAGCUUUAACUCCUUGGUUUCAGUAUUUUGUGCUGACCGGAUGAGGCUAGCUGCCCGCUAUUCUAGAACUUUCCAGCAGGGUCUUUAUCCUAUUAUAUUUAUCCACCCUCCAAAUAGAUCCCUCAAUUUAUUUAUUUACAAUUAGUCCUCACAAAUUUUAAUUAAGGUUGAAACAGUUGAAAUAAAACCAUUGAACAGAAUAAAAAUUGACUUAAGAUAAUUACGGAAUGGCACAUACACUAAUUAAACUGAACUAUUUAUGAGUUUACUACUCAGGCAUGAAUCAAACCAAGUCAAUGAAUCCUAGAAAACUAAUCUAAUGUUAUGAUUGAUACACAUUGGCUGACUAAUCAAAGAGAAGUUUUAAAUGACAAAAAUUUGAACCAAUUGAACAAACCAAGACAUGAAAAACCAAAAAUUUCCCAAAAAAAAAACUACCUGAAUUACUGCCUAAUUAGAGGAACUGUUUCUACUCUCAUAAACACCUAAAUUAACUAAUAAUUAAUGGCUAAAUACUGAACUAAAGAUUGACCACGAAGAAAUGUCAAAAUUUAAGAAAAUGAAAGAGAAAUGAACAAAUAAUAUGGAAUAGCAACACAUAGCGAACAACACUAGGAAGAAGGAAAUUAAACCUAAAAUGAGAACAAGAAAUGUACCUAUUUGAGAAAACAAAAAGUAACCAGGCGUAGAUUUGGCUCGACUUUGUAAUAAUUUGGAAUUACCCCAUAUGAUUGUUUUGUCAAGAACAAUCCAUUUGGGUUGAGUUUCGAACUACACAAACAUGAAGGAUCACAUGAAACUGGAACAUGCAAGAAACUAAUUUUCUUUUCAUCCUCAGAUUUGAAAUUGGAGGAGAUCGGUGGUAUUUGAGGGAAACCAUUGAAGAAUUUGGAAAGGAGGGCAGAUGAGGGUUGCAUGGUUAAAUUUUGGGGUGGUAUACAAAUCGGCCGCCGCCUUGAAGCGAUUUCUGGCGGGUGAUUGACGCUAGAGACGGUAAGGAUAUUGGAAGGCUAGGGUUUCUCUUAGGUUUGGGUUAGAGACGGAUUGAGGGGGUUUCGAAUGCGGUAUGGGGGUUAGUUCAGACAGUUAAAUACAAAGUGAGGCCUUAGUUCCGGGCCGUUGAAUUAUUG
rnacentral:lncRNA from 1 species